UCAGACGAUGCGUCAUGCAUAUCAAUAAGCGGAGGAAAAGAAACUAACAAGGAUUCCCUUAGUAACGGCGAGUGAAGCGGGAAGAGCUCAAAUUUGAAAUCUUCAAGGUUUUACCUUGACGAAUUGUAGUUUAAAGAAGUGUUUUCUGCUGAAGUUUUGGUAAAAGUUCUUUGGAAUAGGACAUCAUAGAGGGUGAGAAUCCCGUAUUUGACCAUUAUUUUCAGCUUUGUGAUACACUUUCAAAGAGUCGGAUUGUUUGGGAAUGCAGUCCAAAAUGGGUGGUAAAUUUCAUCUAAAGCUAAAUAUUGGCGAGAGACCGAUAGCGAACAAGUACCGUGAGGGAAAGAUGAAAAGAACUUUGAAAAGAGAGUUAAACUAGUACGUGAAAUUGUCAAAAGGGAAGCGUUUGACACCAGUGUUGUUUUCUCGAAAAUCAAUUAAAAAUGGCUCGAUUUUGUAUUGUUGAGACCUUAAAAGCUCACUGUACAUUUUUCGUGUCUUUUUUAAUGCACCUUUCGUUUAACAAGUCAACAUCAGUUUCUUUUGUUGUAAAAGGGUCAUUGGAAGGUGGCUUUCUUUUCGGAGAAAGUGUUUAUAGCCUUUGGCCUCUGCAAUCGGAGAGACUGAGGUCUGCAGCGUAGACUCUUCGGGGUUAGAUACAUUUGUGCUAAGUUAUAGCUUUUUAUAGACAACUUGUUGACUAUAAUUAGUCUUGUAGCUUACUCGCUUAUGCUAUUUUACCUACGCUUAGGAUGUUGAACUACUGAGACAUAGA
rnacentral:rRNA from 1 species